UACAGAGGAUGCAAGCGUUAUCCGGAAUGAUUGGGCGUAAGGCGUCUGUAGGUGGCUUUUUAAGUCCGCCGUCAAAUCCCAGGGCUCAACUCUGGACAGGCGGUGGAAACUGUCGAGCUAGAGUCCGGAAGAGGCGAGUGGAAUUCCUGGUGUAGCGGUGAAAUGCGUAGAUAUCGGGAGGAACACCAGUGGCGAAGGCGGCCUUCUGGACCAGUACUGACGCUCAUGCACGAAAGCGUGGGGAGCAAACAGG
rnacentral:rRNA from 1 species